rnacentral:rRNA from 1 species
GACGAACGCUGGCGGCGUGCUUAACACAUGCAAGUCGAACGGAAAGGCCCUGCUUUUGUGGGGUGCUCGAGUGGCGAACGGGUGAGUAACACGUGAGUCUCCUGCCCUUGACUUUGGGAUAACUUCAGGAAACUGGGGCUAAUACCGGCUAGGAGCUCCUGCUGCAUGGUGGGGGUUGGAAAGUUUCGGCGGAUGGGGAUGGACUCGCGGCUUAUCAGCUUGUUGGUGGGGUAGUGGCUUACCAAGGCUUUGACGGAUAGCCGGCCUGAGAGGGUGAACGGGCACAAUAGGACUGAGAUACGGCCCAGAGUCCUACGGGAGGCAGCAGUGGGGAAUAUUGCACAAUGGGGGGAAGCCUGAUGCAGCAACGCCGCGUGCGGGAUGACGGCCUUCGGGUUGUAAACCGCUUUCGCCUGUGACGAAGCGUGAGUGACGGUAAUGGGUAAAGAAGCACCGGCUAACUACGUG